rnacentral:ncRNA from 1 species
CCGCGAGGUUUAAGAGGGCUGAAGGAAGGUGCAGGCAAACCUCUGCCCCAACGAACAGAAACCAUUUAUAGGCCAAAGCAGGAGGAUAAGGCUGCUAAACAAGUCGAAGUCCGAUAACUGCACGAAAUCCUGCAUGGUAAAGAUGGUGGGGACAUGGAGGGAAAGAACG